rnacentral:rRNA from 1 species
GACGAACGCUGGCGGCGUGCUUAACACAUGCAAGUCGAACGGAAAGGCCCCUUUGGGGGUACUCGAGUGGCGCACGGGUGCGUAACACGUGAGUAACCUGCCCUUGACUUCGGGAUAACUUCAGGAAACUGGGGCUAAUACCGGAUAGGAAUCCUUGCUGCAUGGUUGGGGUUGGAAAGCUUCGGCGGUUUUGGAUGGACUCGCGGCUUAUCAGCUUGUUGGUGGGGUAGUGGCUUACCAAGGCUUUGACGGGUAGCCGGCCUGAGAGGGCGACCGGCCACAUUGGGACUGAGAUACGGCCCAGAAUCCUACGGGAGGCAGCAGUGGGGAAUAUUGCACAAUGGGCGGAAGCCUGAGGCAGCAACGCCGCGUGCGGGAUGACGGCCUUCGGGUUGUAAACCGCUUUCAGCAGGGGAGAAGCUUGUGGUGACGGUACCUGCAGAAGAAGCACCGGCUAACUACGUG